AACGAACGCUGGCGGCAGGCUUAACACAUGCAAGUCGAGCGCCCCGCAAGGGGAGCGGCAGACGGGUGAGUAACGCGUGGGAAUCUACCCAUCUCUACGGAAUAACGCAUGGAAACGUGUGCUAAUACCGUAUACGUCCUUCGGGAGAAAGAUUUAUCGGAGAUGGAUGAGCCCGCGUUGGAUUAGCAAGUUGGUGGGGUAAAGGCCUACCAAGGCGACGAUCCAUAGCUGGUCUGAGAGGAUGAUCAGCCACACUGGGACUGAGACACGGCCCAAACUCCUACGGGAGGCAGCAGUGGGGAAUAUUGGACAAGGGGCGCAAGCCUGAUCCAGCCAUGCCGCGUGAGUGAUGAAGGCCCUAGGGUUGUAAAGCUCUUUCACCGGUGAAGAUAAUGACGGUAACCGGAGAAGAAGCCCCGGCUAACUUCGUGCCAGCCGCCGCCGUAACAC
rnacentral:rRNA from 1 species